rnacentral:rRNA from 3 species
GAGUUUGAUCCUGGCUCAGAUUGAACGCUGGCGGCAUGCCUUACACAUGCAAGUCGAACGGCAGCACGGGAGCUUGCUCCUGGUGGCGAGUGGCGAACGGGUGAGUAAUGCAUCGGAACGUAUCCUGGAGUGGGGGAUAACGUAGCGAAAGUUACGCUAAUACCGCAUAUUCUGUGAGCAGGAAAGCGGGGGACCUUCGGGCCUCGCGCUCUUGGAGCGGCCGAUGUCGGAUUAGCUAGUUGGUGAGGUAAAGGCUCACCAAGGCGACGAUCCGUAGCAGGUCUGAGAGGAUGAUCUGCCACACUGGAACUGAGACACGGUCCAGACUCCUACGGGAGGCAGCAGUGGGGAAUUUUGGACAAUGGGGGCAACCCUGAUCCAGCCAUGCCGCGUGAGUGAAGAAGGCCUUCGGUU